rnacentral:lncRNA from 1 species
GGGGCCUGGUGUGGCGGUCCUGAUCAUCUCCUGGGUGGUCACCCUCUACACACUCUGGCAGAUGGUGGAGAUGCACGAGAUGGUCCCCGGGAAGCGCUUCGACCGCUACCACGAGCUCGGCCAGCACGCCUUCGGCGAAAAGCUCGGCCUCUGGAUCGUCGUCCCGCAGCAGCUCGUCGUCGAAGUCGGCGUCUGCAUCGUCUACAUGGUCACCGGCGGCAAGUCCCUCAAGAAAUUCCACGACACCGUCUGCCCCGACUGCAAGAGCAUCAAGACCACCUACUUCAUCAUGAUCUUCGCCUCCGUCCACUACAUUCUCUCCCAGCUCCCCAACUUCAACUCCAUCUCCGGCGUCUCCCUCGCCGCCGCGGUCAUGUCCCUGAGCUACUCCACCAUCGCCUGGGGGGCCUCCGUGGACAAGGGCAAGAAGGAGGACGUCGACUACGGCUACAAGGCGAGCAGCACGGCCGGGACUGUGUUCAACUUCUUCAGCGCGCUGGGUGAGGUGGCCUUCGCUUACGCGGGGCACAACGUGGUGCU